CAAAAAAUGGGUUUUGUAGCACUGUUCAUUAUACACAAAUAUAUUUAGUUACAUUAAAACAUACACAUUUAUUUUUAAGACAAAAUACAAGUGUAAUGUGUUAUGCUAAAUCAAUUUGUUAUUCACUCUAGUUUACCUAACUACCUAUCUUUAAACUAAAGUAAUUGGUUUACUUUUGCGAUUCAAACUACCGGAUGUGACGUCAUUUAACGACUUCCACGAAGACGGCGCGGAGCUCUGGCGCGCAGGUGAUGGUGUAACACACCGUCAUACCACAAAGACUUCUCCAGUCUGGCUAAAAGUUACAAAAGGUGAUCCUUCAGUAUGCCAUUUUUACUUCAGUGAGUGACCUGUCAAAGGAAAUAGAAAAACAAUGUAAUCUACAAGGACAUUUAAGGCUGCAGUUCAUGGAUUCUGACUUGGGCAAUUAGUUUUUAAAUCUCAUGUACACAUCUGAAAUUCAAGACAAAAGUACACUAAAGGUGGUAUUUCUGACAACACCAAGUGAUUGUGACAACUCGCCCCCACCACAACUGAACAGUUUUCAAAGGAGUACCUGCUCAUCACCAGCUCUUUCACUUUCAUCCUGUGACACAGUAGUUUUGUCAACCCCAUCUACUUCAUUAAGCUCUGACUGUGUUGCAAAAGCGUGUCUUGCCAAAUAUAUAACAAAACUGAGAAAAAUUGGCUGUACUGAAGUGAAAUUAAAUUUACUCAAGCCCAAACCAGCUGGAAUUUCCAAUGCUGCUUACCAUAUAAAACAAACAUGCAACGCUGAGGUGAACUACUGCCCUUACCAUCCACAAACGGAGACAUCCAAAACACUGGAAGUAGUCAGUGUAAUACUUCUGUCUGAAAUUAAAAAGAACAAUGAGAAAACAUUAUGAAUGCUGAUGGACAAGACCUUUUCUAUCAGGAGACAUGAGGUUGUCAAGGAGUCGCCUUCAAUAGCAGAUUUCAAAACUAGAUGGCCUGCUCUUUUCAGAAGGGAAGAGAUUUGUGCAGAGUUUAAAAGAAUCGCAACAGCCCCAUUGGUGUCUACAUACUUGGCGAAGAUGGAUCAAUAUUCUGCAAAGGAUCUAUGCAAAACGAGGAGUCAUCAAUUGACCGAGAAUUAAAAACCACAACACGGACUGACAACAUUGAUCAGGCUCCAAUCUUUCUUUGUCUACCUGAAUGAAGACCUGACCAGUCUAAUUAAAGAGUAUUUGGAUACAGAUGCACCCAGUACCCAGGAGGCGAUCCAGAAGAUGGUGAUGGGAGUCCUUGUUGUAAAAAUGUAUGGUUCAGACAUCGAAGACAGCCCAGCAGAUGUUGGAGUGUUAUUGAAGGGAUUAAGAGUUCUUGGACCUCAACAACAUUGUGUAUGCGACAACCAUGCUGAUGGGACUGAUAUAUGCACUGAACUUGAGCUACUUUCCUGAAUUCAGGUACACUUUUGAAGUAUUGCAGUUGGUGUUUCUGGAGCUAGAUGGGAAGUAACUAUCUCAUAAAGUUCAGACGCUGAAGACCAAGCCUUUUGCAGAUGUUUUGAGAAAGGAAUGUUUUAAUAUUUCAUAUGUAAAUGCCAUGUUUUUGAAAUGGAGUUUUCGUGCAUUUCAUUUGUCAGUAACUGUAAAAAAAUUGUAAUGUUGUUAUAAGGUUACAUUGUAAUAUCCAAAGUCCUUAAAAGCUUUGCAAGCUUUUCAAGUUGAUGAGUGCAUCUCAUUUGUUGGUAUAUCCUUUACAGUAUCUGUAGUUUAAGUGCAAUAAACAUGGCUUGAAGAACUGGUGUAUGAGAUUUCUUUUUUGAAUAAAAUGAAUGCUAUAUAGAGUUUAUUACAAAAAGUAUAUUUUUGUGUGUGAUGUACUUGAAAUAGACAUUGUUGUGUUAAAGUAACUAAAAGUAAUUGGAUGGAACCACUGUCCACAAUGUAAU